rnacentral:lncRNA from 1 species
GUGACCUCAGUCUUUAAUGAAAGCUCGUAGUUGAGGUCCUUUUUUUCUGGUUGUACGAUCACUUCUAGAGUGAACCAACACAACAAAUGUGGUCAAUCUGAGUAUUAAAAGCCCUGUGUAAUUUAAUUCACUAGGCAAUUUGGGUUUGAAGAUAUUUACAAGGAGUCUAAGUGAAUCAAGCUAGUCAAGUAAACAUUGGUAGCUUUUUAUUGUUCAGCUCUUUAAUUUAUUCUGGUUUUGUUUAGGUACUGUUUUAGCGAAGAAUCCAAACUCCCAGAUCCAUUGGCUGGUAGGUGUUAGCAGAGAGCAGAGAGAGACCUCUGUCAAGAAGUAUACUUUUUGGCAGCAACCUUUUAGAAAAAUCCCUACAUAAUGGCCAACCAACUGUAUGCUGUCUCUUGCCUGCACACGAAAGAGGCUUCCUGCAGCUUCCAACUCCUCUAGAUUUUUAUCAGCCACUCACAGCAUCCUCUCCAUGGCAGCUGCUGCCAGAGGUGAGUAUUUCAUGUGAUGUUUCCUGUUGCAGUAAAAACAUUCCUGAUAGCGAUUUGGAGGCAAACCACUGCCUCUGAGCCUGUACAGGAGUGCUAACUGCUAUUCUUUGGUUGUUUUCUAUACCAAAAGUGAAUACAGUUUUAUUAAUUUUGCUAUGAUUAUCCUCACAGAAAACCGCUAGCAUUACAGUUUUGUCACAGUUGUACACAUGUUCUGGCCCACUUCUGAGAGAACUAGAGUUCCCAUGUUUCCUUUGGGACACUAUUAAACCAGUUUGUAUUUUUUGUGUUUUACCACUACAUUUAUCCUACAGGUUCAUCUUUUAAUUGCUUUUGAACAGUUUGUACUUUCUAAGCAUUCAUCAAGGUAGCUGCGACAAUCAACACAACUCUUUCUUUGUUUCAGUUUUCAAAAUUGGCCAUAAGUAAUGAUUUCAGUAUUAAUCAAUUUUUUUUGCUUUGGCUAUUUUCUCUAGAAAAGUUGCUAGAAUCUAUUUACCAGUAAGUUACUUGUGAAUAUGUACUAGUU